CCUACGGGUGGCAGCAGUGAGGAAUAUUGGUCAAUGGGAGGAAUCCUGAACCAGCCAUGCCGCGUGCAGGACGACGGCUCUACGAGUUGUAAACUGCUUUUGUACCGGGGUAAAAUGCCUUACGUGUAGGGUUUUGAAUGUACUUUACGAAUAAGGAUCGGCUAACUCCGUGCCAGCAGCCGCGGUAAUACGGAGGAUCCGAGCGUUAUCCGGAUUCAUUGGGUUUAAAGGGUGCGUAGGUGGUUUGAUAAGUUAGCGGUGAAAUACCGAUGCUCAACAUCGGAGCUGCCGCUGAUACUGUAGGACUAGAGAGCGGAUGCAGCAGGCGGAAGGUGUAGUGUAGCGGUGAAAUGCUUAGAUAUUACACAGAACACCGAUUGCGAAGGCAGCUUGCUAGGCCGGAUCUGACACUGAUGCACGAAAGCGUGGGGAUCGAACAGGAUUAGAUACCCCUGUAGUC
rnacentral:rRNA from 1 species